GAUGAACGCUGACAGAAUGCUUAACACAUCAGCAAUUGAUUGGUGGCGGACGGGUGAGUAACGCGUAAAGAACUUGCCUCCCAGCUAGGGACAACAUUUGGAAACGAAUGCUAAUACCUAAUACUGUGAGGGAGCUUUGCGUCCCAUUAGCUAGUUGGAGAGGUAACGGAUCACCAAGUCGAUGAUGGGUAGCCGGCCUGAGAGGGUGAUCGGCCACAAGUGGACUGAGACACGGCCCUUGCUCCUACGGGAGGCAUCAGUGGGGAUUAUUGGACAAUGGACCAAAGUCUGAUCCAGCUAUUCUGGGUGCACGAUGAAGUUUUCGGAAUGUAAAGUGCUUUCAGUUGGGAAGCGGUACCAACAGAAGAAGGGAAGGCUAAAUACGUGCCAGCAGCCGCGGUAAUAC
rnacentral:rRNA from 1 species